CGCAAUGGGCGAAAGCCUGACGGAGCAAUACCGCGUGGAGGAUGACAGCCCGUGGGUCGUAAACUCCUUUUCUCAGAAAAGAAAAAAAUGACGGUAUUUGAGGAAUAAGCAUCGGCUAACUCCGUGCCAGCAGCCGCGGUAAUACGGAGGAUGCAAGCGUUAUCCGGAAUGAUUGGGCGUAAAGCGUUUUAAGGCGGUUUGGUAAGUCUACUGUUAAAUAUCAGGGCUUAACCCUGAACAGGCAGUGGAAACUAGCAAGCUUGAGUACGGUAGGGGCAAAGGGAAUUCCCGGUGUAGCGGUGAAAUGCGUAGAUAUCGGGAAGAACACCAAAGGCGAAAGCACUUUGCUGGGCCGAAACUUUCAUUUAUAGACGAAAGCUA
rnacentral:rRNA from 1 species